ensembl:snRNA U6 U6 spliceosomal RNA
GUGUUUGCUUCGGGAGCACACAGAGUAAAAUUGGAAUGACACAGAGAAGAUUAGCGUGGCCCCUAUGUAAGGAUGACACACAAAUUUAUGAAAAUUAAAUGAUCGCC